rnacentral:rRNA from 1 species
CAGUCGAGCGGUACAGAAAGUAGCUUGCUACUUUGCUGACGAGCGGCGGACGGGUGAGUAAUGCUUGGGAACAUGCCUUGAGGUGGGGGACAACAGUUGGAAACGACUGCUAAUACCGCAUAAUGUCUACGGACCAAAGGGGGCUUCGGCUCUCGCCUUUAGAUUGGCCCAAGUGGGAUUAGCUAGUUGGUGAGGUAAUGGCUCACCAAGGCGACGAUCCCUAGCUGGUUUGAGAGGAUGAUCAGCCACACUGGGACUGAGACACGGCCCAGACUCCUACGGGAGGCAGCAGUGGGGAAUAUUGCACAAUGGGCGAAAGCCUGAUGCAGCCAUGCCGCGUGUGUGAAGAAGGCCUUCGGGUUGUAAAGCACUUUCAGUCAGGAGGAAAGGUUAGUAGUUAAUACCUGCUAGCUGUGACGUUACUGACAGAAGAAGCACCGGCUAACUCCGUGCCAGCAGCCGCGGUAAUACGGAGGGUGCGAGCGUUAAUCGGAAUUACUGGGCGUAAAGCGUACGCAGGCGGUUUGUUAAGCGAGAUGUGAAAGCCCCGGGCUCAACCUGGGAACUGCAUUUCGAACUGGCAAACUAGAGUGUGAUAGAGGGUGGUAGAAUUUCAGGUGUAGCGGUGAAAUGCGUAGAGAUCUGAAGGAAUACCGAUGGCGAAGGCAGCCACCUGGGUCAACACUGACGCUCAUGUACGAAAGCGUGGGGAGCAAACGGGAUUAGAUACCCCGGUAGUCCACGCCGUAAACGAUGUCUACUAGAAGCUCGGAGCCUCGGUUCUGUUUUUCAAAGCUAACGCAUUAAGUAGACCGCCUGGGGAGUACGGCCGCAAGGUUAAAACUCAAAUGAAUUGACGGGGGCCCGCACANNNNNNNGAGCAUGUGGUUUAAUUCGAUGCAACGCGAAGAACCUUACCUACACUUGACAUACAGNNNACUUACCAGAGAUGGUUUGGUGCC